rnacentral:rRNA from 1 species
GAUGAACGCUGGCGGCGUGCCUAAUACAUGCAAGUCGAACGCGCAGCGAAAGGUGCUUGCACCUUUCAAGCGAGUGGCGAACGGGUGAGUAACACGUGGAUAACCUGCCUCAAGGCUGGGGAUAACAUUUGGAAACAGAUGCUAAUACCGAAUAAAACUUAGUAACGCAUGAUACAAAGAUAAAAGGCGCUACGGCGUCACCUAGAGAUGGAUCAGCGGUGCAUUAGUUAGUAGGUGGGGUAAAGGCUUACCAAGACGAUGAUGCAUAGCCGAGUUGGGAGACUGAUCGGCCACAUUGGGACUGAGACACGGCCCAAACGCCUACGGGAGGCUGCAGUAGGGAAUCUUCCACAAUGGGCGCAAGCCUGAUGGAGCAACGCCGCGUGUGUGAUGAAGGCUUUCGGGUCGUAAAGCACUGUUGUAUGGGAAGAAAUGCUAAAAUAGGGAAUGAUUUUAGUUUGACGGUACCAUACCAGAAAGGGACGGCUAAAUACGUGCCAGCCGCCGCCGUAA